rnacentral:lncRNA from 1 species
CCGAUCUUGGUGGGGCCAAAGGUGCGGUCGGAGACGAGCUUGAUCUUGAUCUUGACGCGGUCGGAGACGAGGGCGGCGUCGUCGAGGGUGAACUUGAGGGUGUGGUUCCAUUUGGGGCUGGUGCCGCCGUCUUUGUGGACAGGGGUGCGGAGCUUCUGCUUCCUUACGCCGGCGCCGGAGACGGUGACGGCGGCGUAGACGUCCAUCUUGGAGAAGGUGUUGACGUCCUUGAUGUCAUGGGCGCCGAUCAGGGUUAUUUCAAAAGGUCUGCAAUCCAUGGAUGAAGAAAGAUUGAUUGAAAUCUUGGAGUGAUUGAGAAUUUGAGAGAUUUGGAUUUGAGAAUUUGAGAGAAUCAGAAUGAGAGGUAAGGGUUAUAUAUAGGAGUGGAGAAGAAACCGACUGUGGAAGAGGAAUGAGAGGGGAAUGUUCGUUUUCAGGGGUGCAAUGACGGGUUUGCCCUUUACUACGCGGAGGUUGGAUGGUUUAGGUCAGUGGGGAAUUGAGUGGUUUGUCCGAGUGCAGUUUGGGGAGUUCUGGAAUAUGGCUUCACUAUAAGGUGGAGGAUAAUUCUGUACGUGUUUCAUGCGUGUGUGGCAUGGGGAGCGUAAGAAGUAAUAAUUAAAUAAUGAAUUUUCAGGUGCUUUCUCCUGUUGACAAAUGGAACAGCGCUAAAGCAACACGCGUUUCGCGUUUAGGUUUUUUUUAUAAAUAAAAAAG